AACGCGAAGAACCUUACCCAGGCUCGAAAUGUAAUGGACGACACCAGAGAUGGUGUUUUCCGAAAGGACUAUUAUAUAGGUGCUGCAUGGCUGUCGUCAGCUCGUGCCGUGAGGUGUUGGGUUAAGUCCCGCAACGAGCGCAACCCUUAUCAUUAGUUGCCAACAUUUAAGGUGGGGACUCUAAUGAGACUGCCUGGGUUAACCAGGAGGAAGGUGAGGAUGACGUCAAGUCCGCAUGGCCUUUAUGUCUGGGGCUACACACGUGCUACAAUGGUCGGUACAGAAGGCAGCAAGACCGUAAGGUGGAGCAAAUCCGUAAAGCCGAUCUCAGUUCAGAUUGUAGUCUGCAACUCGACUACAUGAAGUUGGAAUUGCUAGUAAUGACGUGUCAGCAAUAACGUCGUGAAUACGUUCCCGGGCCUUGUACACACCCUACAGU
rnacentral:rRNA from 1 species